rnacentral:rRNA from 1 species
UACGUAGGGGGCAAGCGUUGUCCGGAUUUAUUGGGCGUAAAGAGCGUGUAGGCGGUUUGGUAGGUCCGCUGUGAAAACUCGAGGCUCAACCUCGAGACGUCGGUUGAAACCGUACGGCUAGAGUCCGGAAGAGGAGAGUGGAAUUCCCGGUGUAGCGGUGAAAUGCGUAGAGAUUAGGAAGAACACCAGUGGCGAAGGCGACUUACUGGACUGUAACUGACGCUGAGGCAUGAAAGCGUGGGGAGCAAACAGG